rnacentral:rRNA from 1 species
AGCGUAGACGGCAGUGCAAGUCUGAUGUGAAAGCCCGGGGCUCAACCCCGGGACUGCAUUGGAAACUGUGCAGCUAGAGUGUCGGAGAGGUAAGUGGAAUUCCUAGUGUAGCGGUGAAAUGCGUAGAUAUUAGGAGGAACACCAGUGGCGAAGGCGGCUUACUGGACGAUAACUGACGUUGAGGCUCGAAAGCGUGGGAGCAAACA